UGGGUCCGCUGAGGAACCGCGGGCGAGGGCGCCCGCUGGUUUUGUACGUGACGUGAUCGCCGACGCGAUGGAACACGGUCCAGCCUCCGUGUCGCGCAAGCAUUGUCGGGAGAGAGGGUGAGAACGCGCACACAAAGAUACAGAUCCCCCGUGUAGCCUUAGCAGACUGUUAGGGCAAGUGCUGUUCGCGAGCACACUAUGAAAACCGGCACUGUGGCAUGUGAAGGGGGUGGGUGGCCAGCACCACGCCCAGCCACUUUUGCCUCCCCAGUGGCGAUGUUUACACACAGCACCAAGGAACUCAUUCGAUGCUGAGUCGACCUAGCAGAGGCCCAGGACCGGUACAGAUAAUCGUCACCGGCGUUGGCCGUGAACGGGAAUUGAACCGCUCCCGCAACGCGCACACACACACGCACGCACAAGGAAGAGGACGCUGGCUUAACGCGGCUCACAAACGGAAUGGUGUACACAGUGGGUGGAGAGGCGGACAAGACGGACCGACGGACAGAGCGCACUUGCCAGACGUAGGUUAGUGUACAGACGGGGCAGCGUGCACAGGACUAUUGCAGACAGAGCAAGAAUCACGACGCCACCGUCAUCUCUAUCGAAUGCGUGCUGACCAGUGAAACUUUUACCAGUGUGACCCGUGCGACGACGUGGGGAGGCAGCUCUAACCCAGCCGCGGCUCAAUCGAUUGAUGGAUCGUGCAAGGCAGCGGCGUCGGCAACUACGACGAUCGCGGCGGCGAACAGCACGCACGUACCAUGUGGUGCGCGAUGUCCUCGGACAACGCUGGUGAAUGGAAAGGAAACGCCUGUGAUCUUACAAAAAAAAAUAGUCAUGAAUUAAUUUCAAAAGAUAAUUCACGCCCGCCUUCACGUGAAUGGAAGUCCGUUUGAACCGCCGGUGACCUCCCCACCGAGUGGUGCUCGUUUUAAUCGACCCGGAAAGGAACGACGAGCUGAGUCAACAACCCCCGAGCGUUAACGCGCGGCAGACGUCGACUCGCUCGCUCCGCCGCCGCUUUGCGACUGGGGGCUCAAACCCACGGCCGACGGUGCUGUGGGAUGGCCUGCCCUCGGGG